UACGUAGGGGGCAAGCGUUGUCCGGAUUUAUUGGGCGUAAAGAGCGUGUAGGCGGCCAUACAGGUCAGCUGUGAAAACUCGAGGCUCAACCUCGAGACGUCGGUUGAAACCGUAUGGCUAGAGUCCGGAAGAGGAGAGUGGAAUUCCCGGUGUAGCGGUGAAAUGCGCAGAUAUCGGGAAGAACACCGGUGGCGAAGGCGCCCAUCUGGACGGUAACUGACGCUGAGACGCGAAAGCGUGGGGAGCAAACAGG
rnacentral:rRNA from 1 species